AAUGAAUUGCCUGAUAAAAGGAUUACUUUGAUAGAGUAAAUUAUAUGAAAUUUUCAUAUUCAUUA
rnacentral:tRNA from 1 species